rnacentral:rRNA from 1 species
UACGUAGGUGGCAAGCGUUGUCCGGAAUUAUUGGGCGUAAAGCGCGCGCAGGUGGUUCCUUAAGUCUGAUGUGAAAGCCCCCGGCUCAACCGGGGAGGGUCAUUGGAAACUGGGGAACUUGAGUGCAGAAGAGGAUAGUGGAAUUCCAAGUGUAGCGGUGAAAUGCGUAGAGAUUUGGAGGAACACCAGUGGCGAAGGCGACUGUCUGGUCUGUAACUGACACUGAGGCACGAAAGCGUGGGGAGCAAACAGG